GUAAAAAGUUGUAACCUAAGGUUACCUUUACAGUGUAUAGUAUCAUAAGCUACAUAUAUUUAUACUAUUUAUAUUACUUUAAUAAAUAUUUUGAAACUGGUUUGUUAGUUACAAUGAAUGGCUCUUAAGUCUUUAUAGAUAUAAACCCUACAUGUCUCCCAUAUGUAUUAUAUAUUCAAAAUUCAUGAAAGAGGAUUCUUUUCAAUUAUGUUUUCAGUUGAAAAUCUGUUAAUGGCUUUUGGAAGAUUCCAUUUAAUGAGCCAUGUUAGUCUUCCUUGAUGAUUUUUUAUCUUACCACAGUGCUUACCAAGUGCCUAGCAAGUACCCUGGAAGUAGUAAGCCUAUAGAAACAUGUGCUUAAUAUAUAACAUUGGUGUUGAAAAAGAUGAGUGUACUCUGAAAUUUGUUCUUCAGAAUAAAGCUAGUCUUUAUUUUGCCUACACAACCUAAAAUUUCUAACAAAAUUUUUCUAAUCAGUCAAAUCUUCAAAAUUUUUCAAUAGUUAAAAUUAAUAUACUAGACAAGAAAGAAGAGGAUUUUUAAUUUUUGUUAUAGUAUAAUGGAUUUCAUGAUGGUAUAUUCAUUCAUGUAUAGCAUGUACUUGCUUUCAUCAUAUUUACUCCCCCUUUACCUUCUCUAGUCCCCUCUGCCCCCUCCCCCCUCCCACUGGUCAUCUUCCCCUUUCCAAACAGUCCCCUUCUGUUUUCCUGUCUUUUGUGUUUCUUAAUCUAGAUUCAGAAUAUGAGGAAAGCAUGCACUAUUUCUCUUUCUGAGUCUGUUAGUUUGUAUUAACCAGCUUAUUUAGAAUUGUCUACAUUGUGACUUUUCACAUAAAAGUCACAACUGCAGUUUCGGAAGUCUCUUAGGAUCAAUUAUUUAUAAUUAAUAUCAUGUGUAGAUGCAUUUACCUUUCAGAAAAUGAGGUGAUUCCCAAAUUUAAAUCUGUGUCAUCUAAAUUUAAAAUAUUUCUAAAGACCAAGAUCGAGUAUUUUCUCAAAGAGUUUGCUUUACUUAACCUUGCGUUUGGCUUCAGAGCUAUUUCUUUUGCUAUAAAAUUAGUACUACUAAAAAAGUAAUACAUUUACAUUUUUACAUUUUAGGGGAUAAAACACCCCAUAAUUUCCAAUAUAAAAUCAGUAUCUCUAGAAAGCCUUUAAAACUUGUGGGUGUUACAAAACCCUAACCCUCCAGAGCAGUGCUUUUUCCUGUUAGCAACAACAUUCAACACUGACUUUUCAGGGUGUCAUCAAUAUAAUGUAGGACCCAUUUUCCAUUUUUUACUGACAUUGAAGAUUUCCAUCUCUGUUAUAAUUAAAGUGUAAUUAAAGUGACAUAUUCUGCUGUCUGUUGAUAGGACACAAUAAGAUUAUGGUAAGUGAAAGAUUCUCAACAUGCAAAGAGGAAAAUCAGUCUUGAAAAUGGAAGAGUUCUUAAAAGAAAUGAAACAUAUCUGGAACUGAGAAAAGAGAAAGAAAAGAACAAAUUAAGCUGAAUUGCUAAAUAGUAUUUGGACUAAAGAAGGUCACUUUUUAAGAUUUAAAUGUUUUCCUCUGUGAAAGGGGCCACUGCUUCCCAAAUCCAGAAACAAGCCCACGAAUAUGUUAAUUAAGUGCAUUGUGUCCCAGAAAGAAUGCGUUUGACAAAUUCAUUUUUAUUCCUUCAAUUAAUAAACUGUUUGCUGAGCCAUCUAAGAUUUUUUAAAUCUAUAAUGUGUAUAUUUGCCAUUGUACAGUAACAGUGCCAAGGACCAACAUGACCCCAUAGGGUGAAUCUUAUGAAGCUUAACAUUCCUGGCGAAUUAAACACACAAGCCUCAGAUCUUUUUGUCAGUCUUACUUUACUGUGGAAUUGAGAGCCAGAAUGUAGGUAAUUUUUAUAUGGUGGCACUUUAGCCCAAUUAAAAAAGCAAUCAUCUUUGGCACAAGCAGAGGGGACAAAUAUAAUGACAUAAUAUUAAAGAAAGGUUUCACAAAGGCUGACCAGGAAUGCUACUCCCUCUCCGUCCCCACCCCCACUCGUACUUUUUUUUUCUUCCCAUUUGUUGUUUUUCUCACAAGAACAUCCUGACUUUUAAUUUUUUUUCUUUUACUUUGAAUGAAACAAACCAAAAAAAAACAUCUGAGAUAGUAAAAGAUGAAAAGAAAAUUCAUCUUCUGCUAUCAACUACAUAACAUAAACUUGCAAAGCUAUUCUAAAUAUUCAAAGGCUUAUAAAUAAAAAAUGUAAAUUGAGCAGGGGAUGAGUGUGAAACAGAAUGAACAGAUUGAAAAUACUUAAUUUUCAAUUUCGAUUUUCUCCUAUUCCAGCCUUCCCAUAGUUAUGCUUUAAAUGAAUUCUCACAUAAAAAUUUUCCCUUUGCCUCGAAAUAAGUGAAUGAUUUCCAGGAGGAAAUGCAGCUUUAGAAAGAAGACCUGCAAAAUGAAAGUGUUCAAAUGCAAACUACUAUAGCAUUUCAAAUGCAAAAUCACAACCUUCACCACCUUUAACUGACUCUUAAAGGGUCUUUUCAAACAUGCUAUUUACGACAUCAUCUGUUAACUUCAUUUUCUAAUUCAAAACUCUUGCCAAAUGAUGUUUUCAUGAUGACGUGUAAAUAUAAUAUUCCAUUAGAGAUCAAUUCUAAUUGGUUUUUUAAAAUCCACCUUGGGAAACAGUGCUGCAUAAUACACAGACUCGUAAUGAGUAUUUUAGAAGGAAUUUCCAAAGUCUUAUAAUUCCUAAAUCCAAAUUACUCUUCUUCCUAAUAAGCUUUUGGUCACAGGACUUAAAUUAUUUCUUCACGAAUCCUCACGCAGGAGGACUCUGGUCUUGUCUACAAGACCAGGAUCACUUGUUGGAAAUCAUUUUUUAAAAACUGACGUUUGCCAAAAAUAUUUUUCCCACAUGACUCACAAAGGAAAACAGUUUCUUAGGAUGGGUUGCAAUUUAUUUUGUUUCCAAAACGUGGUUUAAAGUCAUAAUGGACGUUUUUCCCUUUUGAAAUUCCCUGUUAUUUUGGAAACGCAUUUCACCUUAACGAACCAAGCCCCUUUUUGUUAGUGCUCUUCCUUGUAAAACCAGACUACUUGUAUACAACAAAGAGCUGAGUAGUAACAAAUGAGGACAAAAAUAAAUAAAGUGCUUUUCUGAACUCUUUGAACGCUAACAUCCAUUUUCGAACCCACACAUUUAAAGAUAUUUUAAAUAUUAUAUAAUCUGCUUUACUUUCACAUUCGGGGGGAGAUUGGCCACAUUUGUCGCUUAUCUAGUGAUGACUUUAUAAACAGCUAUGCAGCUUUCCCUUGUAACAUGUGAGCUGCAGGCUGGCCUAAAGUCUUUUCCUUUAGCUGCACGUUGUGAAAGCGCCUUUCUAUGAGGUCUACGGCUGGGAAAGCCCCUUGCAGGCCAGAGGGUCAUAAAACCGGCCGGGCGAGAGGGGGCGAGCCUCGUGGGCUUCCGCGGGCCGCAGGCUGCAGGGGACAAGUCGCAGGUCCCCUCCCCCGGGAAAAACGCGUCUCAGGGCUUUGGCGCUGGGGCCGAACAAUGGAAACACCCUGGAGCCCGGCGGCUCCGGCUUCCUUCGACUCAGUCCCCGGGUUUUCCGGCUCUGGCCUCCCGACCCCGGCCACCUCCCUAUGCCGGCCCUUCCCCCAUGCCACAUGAGAGUGUCCUCCAAGUCUCAUUGCCAGUGAAAUGCUGAGUUGCUGUUUCCUUCCGGAAAAAAAGAUUUCCUCCGGAAAAAGAUUCCCUCCUCCAGAAAUCCAAAUCUAGAAGGAAAUACAACCAAUCCGACAUAACCUUUAUUAACCGUAACUACACUCUCCCUUGUUGCGGAAAAAUAGAAUUUGAAGCACGUAGUCUUAAAAACCUGCAAAAGCACUAAUUCCUCUCUUAUUUCCUCCUUUCGAUACAGUUGUUUUAAACUCUCCAGCGAAUGCCUUCUGAAGAGAGGAUGUGCCCAGCAGCACGCAGCGAAUCAAAGGUUUUAUCUUACGCCUCCUGGGACUAGGGAGAAAGUACCAGGACGAGGGAGCUGAGCUACCAAGGCAGAAAGCAGCCCGACUGCAGGAACAGUACCUACUACAACCUGCGCAGAGAUUUCAUCAAACAAGAAAGGCUGUUAAAAAAACUUGAGUUCGAGACCUAGGAUGCAAAGGUUAUUUCCUGGACUGUGCCUUCAUGCGUUUUCAAACUUCUUAGCUGCAAGUGGAAGACAGUGAUUGGCUCCAGUGCUUACGAAGGAUUUGGGCUAAAGCCAGGGGAACAGAACCAGAGGAUUCCCUUCCAGACCAUCACACUGCUUCUGCCUUAUCUUUCCUUUCUCUCCUGGGUGCUGAAGAUUUUAGUGUAGCUUCAGCAGCCCUUAGGUAGGCCUCAACACUUAAUGUCAUCACUCCAGUUUCUUCACAUUUGGCCUUCGUGUAAAAUAAACAAAAACUUGGGUAACCCCAAUAAAUGUUCCUUCUUGA